AUUGAACGCUGGCGGCAGGCUUAACACAUGCAAGUCGAACGAGUGGCGGACGGGUGAGUAAUGUCUGGGAAACUGCCCGAUGGCGGGGGAUAACUACUGGAAACGGUAGCUAAUACCGCAUACCAUCGGAUGUGCCCAGAUGGGAUUAGCUUGUAGGUGAGGUAACGGCUCACCUAGGCGACGACCCCUAGCUGGUCUGAGAGGAUGACCAGCAACACGGGAACUGGAAAACGGUCCGGACUCCUACGGGAGGCAGCAGUGGGAAAUAUUGCACAAUGGGCGCAAGCCUGAUGCAGCCAUGCCGCGUGUAUGAGGAAGGCCUUCGGGUUGUAAAGUACUUUCAGCGGGGAGGCGUUACCCGCAGAAGAAGCACCGGCUAACUACGUGCCAGCAGCCGCGGUAAUAC
rnacentral:rRNA from 1 species